rnacentral:rRNA from 1 species
UACAGAGGGUGCGAGCGUUGUCCGGAAUCACUGGGCGUAAAGGGCGCGUAGGCGGCUUGAUAAGCGUGCGGUGAAAGCCCGGGGCUCAACCCCGGGUCGGCCGUGCGAACUGUCGAGCUGGAGCACUGUAGAGGCAGGUGGAAUUCCGGGUGUAGCGGUGGAAUGCGUAGAGAUCCGGAAGAACACCGGUGGCGAAGGCGGCCUGCUGGGCAGUGGCUGACGCUGAGGCGCGAAAGCGUGGGGAGCGAACAGG